rnacentral:lncRNA from 1 species
ACUCGUUAAGUUUCCGCGGAAGGGAUGAACAUCGAGAUUAAGAUGCUUGGCAAUACAAAAUCCUUAUUGAUUAUAUGCAGAACAAACACUGAUCGGAGUUUUUCGGAAGAGUAUCCAAAAAUGUUCAAGGAGAAUCAAUCACCGGAAAAUAGAACCUUAGCGAUUUACCCAUUGCGAAGAUACUUCGAACCCAAGAGACAUUGUAAAAUUUUUCAGCAC